CCACCACCGUCUCCUCCACCGCCAUCUCCAACUCCACCUUCACCUUCACCAUCAACAUCUUCACCCUCCCCUCCGCCACCAUCCAUAUCACCUCCCGCACCGCAAUCACCAUCACCUCCAGCACCAAAAUCACCACCACCUCCACGCAUAUCACCAUCUCCACCACGUUCUAAAAACAGUCCUCAGCCGCCACCGCCACCGCCACCGCCACCAAGGAAUAAGUUACGCGAAACCUCCUCAAACGGGAACAUGGCAGGGCAUCAAUCACUUUCAACAAUGCAAAGUAAUCACGAAAUGAACACAGGGCAGAAGAUUGGGUUGUUGUUUGUGGGUAUUGCAGCGAUUUUGCAGAUUGGUGUUGUUGGGUUCUUGG
rnacentral:misc_RNA from 1 species